GUGCUCACUUCGGCAGCACAUAUACUAAAAUUGGAAUAAUAUAGAAAAGAUUAGCAUGGACCUAGUACAAGGAUGACAUGCAAAUUUGUGAAGUGUUCAAUAUUUUA
ensembl:snRNA U6 U6 spliceosomal RNA